rnacentral:rRNA from 1 species
GUGAGGAAUAUUGGGCAAUGCCCGCAAGGGUGACCCAGCAACGCCGCGUGGAGGAUGAAUGUCGUAAGAUUGUAAACUCCUGUUAGAGGGGAAGAAUAGUACCGGUUGGACCGGUAUAUGACUGUACCCUCAGAGAAAGCCCCGGCUAACUACGUGCCAGCAGCCGCGGUAAUACGUAGGGGGCAAGCGUUGUCCGGAUUUACUGGGUGUAAAGGGCGCGCAGGCGGGAUAAAAAGUCAGUGGUGAAAUCCUACAGCUUAACUGUAGAACUGCCUUUGAUACUUUUAUUCUUGAGUUCGGGAGAGAGAGACGGAAUUCCAGGUGUAGUGGUGAAAUACAUAGAUAUCUGGAAGAACACCAGUUGCGAAGGCGGUCUCUUGGUCCGACACUGACGCUGAGGCGCGAAAGCGUGGGGAGCAAACA